CCAUCUUCAUAUUCGGUUCUCAUGUCAUCGACUCAUACAUGCUCUUUAUAGAUAUCUGCUGUUGUUGCACCUCCAGCACUGCAGAAACUUAGCAAGAAAUUUCCAGGGUAAGUAGAUAUAAGUGCUAUAGAACGUAAUUCUCUAUUACAUAUUAGUUCACUUACUAGUGUCUUUUUUCCCAGGCUUCAUGUAUAUGCUGGAAUGAUAGAUUCAGUUGUAAAUGAGAAAGGGUAAGUAAAUCUUCUGAUCACUAUGUGCUUAUUACUAUUCCCACACCAAAGGGAAAAGCACCUAAAAGGAUGUACCAGAACGUGUCUAUACGGUUCUUUGCUAGCAUCAAAUAAGCAUGCACUCCAUUUCUCAAGUUCGAGUGCUAUGAGUUUUAAUUUACUGUGUUUUAUCACCAGGUUCAUUAUCCCUGGAUUGGGAGAUGCCGGUGACCGCAGCUUUGGUACCUGAAAGUUUGCACGCCACGAUUCCUCUAUCCUUUUAGGAAAUGGCAAUGGUUCCCGAUGAGAUAUUUUGAGGAUUUCGGGAUUGGGAGAUGCCAGUGACUGCAGCUCUGGUACCUGAAACUUUACAUGGCACGAUUCCGCUAUCCUAUUGGUAAACGUCUGAUACUUACAUCAUUUUCAGGAUUUCUAAAUAUUUUACAUGUUACCUCCGAGGGCAGAAUGCUUAAGGUGUAGAUCAGUUUUGUUUCCGGGAAUGCAUAGAAGUAAAAUAGUUUGAGAAAUUUUGGCAAUUGAAAUUUUAGUGGUUAUUUCAGCAUAUUUAGAGUCAUAAAAUACUGGUCCCUUUGAAUUGUAAUGUAGGAAUACUUGUGAGUGGUAACUUUGUACAGGAAAGCUAUCACAUGCUGGUCCCUUAGAAUUGUGAUGUAGGAAGGAAUACUUGAAGGCGGUACAUUUUCUGGACAUAAUAAAGAACUGAUAAUGAAUGAUACAUUCUAAUUUUGAUAGUAUUCAUCCUGAAUAAGAAAAUAAAUCGUCGAAACAUUUAAAGAUACUUACUCAUCAUUGCAGUCUAUAAUUAUAGCUCACUAUAAUUGCACGAAAUUAGGUGAUCUGAAGCGUGCAUGAAGCAUUGUUGCAACACAAUGCAACCAAUUAAUAUGGGACUUAUCAAAAUAUUUAUGCCUAAUAACAGACAAAUGCUAAAUUAUAGUUACCUAGCAGUCCAAUGCUGAGUGCCCAAAGCACUGUAAGGAGGCUACAGGAAGUCAGUCAAAGGAUGCACCUAGCUGCAAUGGAAAUUAGGACACAAGUGAGAUUUAUGGAUCAAGUGUUUUGUCAUCGAAUUAGAUGUUAGGAGUUUCAGGAUUUCCUAGCUGAGAAUGUCAACACAGAAACCCAACGAGGCUUUCCACACAUAUUAAUUAGCUAGUUGGGUUUAUAGGUAAAUCAAACGAGGCUCUUGCCAUGUAUGGCAUCAUAUAUGCCUCUUGCAUGAGGGUGCCUUUGUUGGACGUACUAGUUAGUCAUUGUCAACGUGAUACUUUUAACAUUGAAGAGAAGCUUGGUCUCCUUCAAGAACAUUGUAUAAUCAAUAUCAAAAUUUUCAACAUGUCGUGGUAUUUGCAGCUAAUUGUUUAGAUAAUUGAUGUCCAUGGCAUGACAUGUGUCAGUAAUGCACUGAGAUAGUAGAUGACAAUCAGCACACACAGAUCUAAACAAGCUUUGUGCCAAAUCCACAUGAUCAGCAACCCUCGAGCAUGGAUUCACGCACUUAAGUUCAUGAUUAGCAUCCUACAAAGAUACCUUCAUAUAUAUAUAUAUAUAUAUAUAUAUAUGUAUAUAAAACCUGAGAAAACAAUGCCCAUUCCAUGUCCAACCAUUUGUGCUAUUCAUUCUUUCUUUGUCAACCCUACAUUCCUUCUCGUCAUAUAUUACUUGCUCUACUCUUGCUUAUGUAGUCCUUCUCUUUAUUUGUUGGUUCAAAUAUAUUUAGAGGUGAUCAUGACUUGAAUAUUCCCAGCAUGAAAGCUGCUCAUUAGAGUUGACUAGGUCUCGAGACUCUUCCUUGGUCUCGAGACUCUUUCAAACAUGACCAGAUAUCUCUUCAACUAUUAUCACCCAAGAUUUGUUGGUGCAUAAAGGUAUUCUGGUCAAUUGUCAUAAAUUCUUGAAUGGAUCACGAUGAAUUAUGGGCUUUUAUCGCUGGCUAAUUCUAUCCAAUGCCAAUUCCAAGCAUCAUUGUCAAUCUAGAAGCCUAAUUUUAUGAUUCGUGAAGGAUGUUUUUUAUAUUUUGCUAACGGACACACAAAAAAUAUUCAAGAUAGCUCUCGAAAAUAAUAAAAAAAGGCUAUAAAGCUCAAUUAUUUGAGACCAGUAACAUGGAAUUUUUUCCCAUUGUUCGAGUUAAUAUCAAAUGCAGAACUAUAUUCAAACUAAUAUCAAUAAGAUAUCUUCUUGUUACUUCUAAUAUAGAAUUUUUUAACUCAUGCUUCUCCCACUCCUCACGCUAGUAAUUUAGAUACACUCACUUCAUGCAACUAGUGUUUUGAAAAAAUCUCUUUUACAUGUAAACCCUCUUUUGAUCCUCGAUUGCCAUCACCCCUACUUGUCCCCGAUGCAAACAUUCUUUUUCUAGUAAUUAAUUAUACACAUCUAUCUUAGUAGUUUAUAUCUUAUCUAAUUGUCACCACCUUUUGGAAUAUUCUUUCUAAUUGCUUGAUAUAUUCACAUUAUUAUUUUCUUAUACUUAAGCGAAGGUGCUAGAGACAUGAUCGUUUUAACUAUUAAGUGAAAAUUGUGUAUCUAAUCCAUUUGUUGAGAUAAGUGAUGUAGGACUAACUAUGAUAGUAAGAAAGACAAAACAAUUAAAGAAGAAUCGAAGUUGGGCUGAAGUCAAUGAUUAGGCAUCGAGCCGGAUGAAUCAGGAGAUAGAUCGAAGGAUCGAACGAUGCAGUUUGCCGAAAGCUCGUUGGAAGUUCGCCGAAAGCUCACCGAGAGUUUGGUUGAACAAUUGAUGUGCCAGACAACUUAGAUUACUUGUAUCAUAAUUAUUUUAGCCUUAACUAUCAUAGUUAGAACUUUAAUUUGAGUUAGUUAUGGGAGAAAUCCUACUAACUCAAUUAAGGGCCAACUGGAUCCUUAACAUGGCUGAAUUUGGUCGGUUGGAUGGUCCAUUCAACCACUUGAGCCACCUCAAGUGAUAGCACCGCCCAGAUUGGGCGGUGGUACCGUCGACAAUUAAUGCUGCCAAACAGUGGUACCACCCUAUCAGCCGAUGGUACCACUAGAGCCCGGUCUCCGAGGCUUUGUCAGACGAUCAUACCAUUUAGAUUGGGCGGUGAUACCACCCAGUAUCAGUCUACAGGCAGUGGUACCGCCCAAUAAUGGCGAUGGUACCGCUAGUAGCUCGGAAACUAAGGACGAGACACUUUUUGGCUUCAUUUUUAAAGCCAUUGGGGCCUAUAACUACCUCACUCUUUCCUGCAUGAAAAAGCACAAAAAGUGUGAACAAAUGUCUUGAGAUUUUGGUUGUAAAAGUUUUGAAAAAGUGAUAAGUGUCAUCCUCCUCCUUCUUUAGCUUUGUGAUCAAUCUAAUAGAGGUGUGAGGCUUGUAAAAUGUUAUCUCCUAAACCUGUAAAAAGGAGAAAAUGUUGUAAGAGGGUGGUUAGUCUUCAUCUCAUUGAAGGAAGACCAUUAGUGGACAUCGAUGAACUCAACGGAAGAGAAAUCAGGAGUGGAUGUAGGUCACAACGAUCGAACAACUAUAAAUUUGGUGUGUGCUCUCUUUUUGCUCUUCAUUAUUGUUGUUCUCCGUUUUUAAUUGCAUAUUACAUUUACUUCAAGUGAAACACACUUUCAAUAUCAAUUCCGAUACGAGUUUCAUUGAAUCAAGCUUUUCAAAAUUAUUGAAGUUUUUCGAAUCAACGAAACUUUUAUCACAAGCACUAAUUCACCCUCUCUCUUAGUGCCAACUUGAUGCUAACAAAUCGUUGUUUCUCAAUGAUGAAAAAAUAUCCAUGUAGCUAAUCCAAAAUAAUUAGGAAACUAUAAUAUGUAGUUUAGCGAGAAAGUAGAAAAAGAAAAAUAAUUUACUUGUAGGUGAAAUAAAAAAUAAUAAAAAUAAAAUUCAUAAAGAAAGAUUUCAUCCACCUGUACUGAUAAUAAUGACAGUCAUCUGCUUACAAAGGUGAUCAUUCAAAUAGGACGAUCAAGGGAAACCAAAAAUCAUGUUGACAUUUGUUCUUAAUUUCUCUUGAUGUUAAGCUGUAUUGUGCUAUAGAGAGGGAGCGGAGGGGGAUUGUUGGAAGAGGUGUUUUAAAGCUGAGAGAUGGAUUCCGACUCUGCAGUUAAGUUCAGGUGGAAAUGAUAUCAACUCCAGCUAAGCCCCUCUACUAUCUGUAUGGUCUUUAGAGGUGACAGGCAUGUGGUGAAAAAUGGAUACCGAUAUUUUAGUCACUUGAGGUGGAAGAGGAAACAACUACUGGUAAGCUCAAAUAACCAAUAUGGCCUUUAAAUCUUUUUAUCACCUAGCCAUUCUUAAAAGAAUACUAGAAACCACUCAAAACAAAAGGAACUUCAUAAUAAAUGCACUUGCAGAUGAAAAAACCAAACAUCCAAGAAUAGGUUAUCAAGUGAUGCUAAGAACUCAUCUGCUAAUGUAUGUAUCCAAAUAAAUAAAUAACUUGCUGCGUGAGAUGUUCUCAUAUGCUCUAAGUCUAUAACUGGGCUCUAAUUAAGCAUUUAAUACUUAUUUUCCAGUCAACAUAUAAUAGAUUACAAAAAAUAAUGUCAACUAGUCAUGGUGUUUAAGCAAUUUUAAACAAUAUGACAGAGACCUUACCUUUCAUCUACGAAUGCGAUGCUUAGACCUGUGAGAAAGGCAACAACAACGGCAAGAGGCUUCGAAAGAAACCCCAUGGCUGCAUUAGGAGUAAAAGAAGCAAAAAAGGGGUAUUAGAAACAUCGGAGCAAACAAUAAUAGCUGCACUAUUAUUAAGAAUAAAACCUAAUCAUGAGAAACGAUUGAGUUCCCUUACCCCGAACGAACAUGAUCAGAAUGAAGUAAUUGGUC
rnacentral:lncRNA from 1 species